rnacentral:lncRNA from 1 species
CUUUACGUAUGUCGACUCUGACAGUGUGGUGUGUGUUGAGCUGUCCCUGGUCAGUAUGGACAGACCCACAUAGCUUGGAGCAUGUGUUGAAGAGUGUAAAUGUCAGAGCCAGCGUACCGGGUUUGAGUCCCUGCCUUGCCAUUGACAAGCAGGGCAUGACAGACAAGUGAUGUCUGUGUCUGUUGCUUGUCUGUAAAGUGGGACGCCGGCCGUGCUGCCCUGUUGGGCUGCUGUGAGGGUGGAGCAAGUUAACACAUGCACAGCCUGUAGAAGGGUGGCCGUCUGCCGUUGUCUCUGGUGGCUGUAUGAUGUUCCGGAGGGAAUGUCGUUCUAAGCGAUGCCUUGCUGAACACCCCCUGCGCUCUCCUUGCAGGUGUCGAGUGAUACUCACUUGAUACUCUGAGUGUGGCCAACAUGCGGGGCUCAGGUGGCUUACUGCUUUUCCUUCCAAAGGCCGACUGUGGUGACCUUGCUGAAGACAGAUCAUCCGUCUCAGGGUCUGGAGUCGGGGUCCCACACUGCUUGCCGUGAGAGGUCAGGGGGCGGUGCUGGCCUCUGAGCAGCCCCGUGGCACUGAGGGCUGGCCCAGGUGCUCUCACAGGGCGACCUCCUGACGCCCGUGCUCACCGUGGCCCUCGCUCCUAAUCCCACCCUCAGGUUCUGAGGCAGGAAGCAGUUCCCACACUUGGCUACUGGGAAGGAAGGUUGUGUGGGGGGGCAGAGGCUUCCUGUGUGACCUGGAGCUGAUCUUUCCCGCCCCUGCAGGUGCAGCAGUACCGCGUCGCCAUGACUGCCAAGGACUGCUCCAUCAUGAUUGCACUGUCUCCCUGUCUGCAGGAUGCCAGCUCUGAUCAAAGGCCUGUCGUCCCUUCAUCGAGGUCCAGGUUUGCCUUUUCCGUGUCUGUGCUGGACCUUGACCUCAAGCCCUACGAGAGCAUUCCCCAUCAGUAUAAACUGGACGGCAAGAUCGUCAACUAUUAUUCAAAGACUGUACGUGCCAAAGACAACGCCGUGAUGUCGACUCGGUUCAAGGAAAGCGAAGAUUGCACAUUAGUUCUCCACAAGGUCUAACUCUUUCCCUGCAGUGUCUUUGAAACUUGAACAUAAUGUGAAGGCUGAAUGAUAGAGAUAUUUUCUGUUGUGUUGGGUGACCUUUGGUUGUGAAUGUUUUUGCUUUUAACCCCUUUUGAGGUGGGAUUGCCUCUUGGAGACAUGGAAUUGAAGAGCACUAGAAACAACUUCCUGGACAAGGAAUGUAGGAAGUGAGUGCUGUGUCCCAGGAAGCUGCUCACACUCUUAAAAUGGAAGUGUCCGUUAAGCCCUGGGAAGACGUUCUGGAUAGUUCUUCUUUCCCAACCAGGGCUCAUGUCUGAUUCUCUAAUGCGAAAAGCCUUAUUCUAAGACCCAAGGUUUGGAUCUGCUACCACCAGACUCCUAACAUAGAAAACUUGAAUUGUCACAUACAUUUUACAGUUUGGACUUUUAAGAAAACAUGGAUACUACUGGAACUUCCCCCAGCUGAGUUACAUGGUCACUUUUUCAGUGCAAGCCACAUAUCAACACAGGUUUUUAGGUGGUUCCCUGCUGCACAGCGUGACCUCGUGGUCGCGCAGAUGCCGAUUCUGAGCAGUGUAGACUCAGGGUCCCUGUGGAGGUGCUGAAGCCCACAGUUCCACACAGGGCAGCAGGGAGCGCAAGGCUCAGGUCAGGAUGGACACCACUCAUGCGAGCAUUGACCUUUUUUUUUUUGCUUUACAAUUUAAUCUUUCACAUGAGGGGGAGAUGAGCUGUUCUUUCCCACUAAAAAUUGCUGCUGUAGAAGUUGGAGGUGGAGCUGUGACUGGCUGAGCUGCUGUGGCCGGGCUGGGCAGUGUGCCCCAACAGCUCAGUGCUUUCCUGACACUCCAGUGUCUGGGGUGGUUGAGGAGCGAGUUCUCUCUUCCUCCCAGACCAAGUUCCUCCCUCGGGUUUGCCUUGAGACGUGUUGCGUUUUUGGGCCCCGUGGCCUCUCCCUGUUAGGCUGCCACAGGCCCUGCUUCUGGAAGGUGAACAGCUCCUGGCUGCUGCCGAGAGGGUUCUCGUUGGGGUCACCAAAGUGUGCCCGGCUGCUAUGAAAAACGUUGGGAAUCUUGGUUUCAGUUUUUUAUUCUAUGCUAGGUUGUACAGACUUAUUUAUAUCAUCGUUUUGAGGGACUAAUGGAGGCUUAUUGUAACAUAUAAUAUUAGUGAAACCAUGGAAUUAUAUGAAAAUGAUACAUGAGAAAUAAGGAAACUAUUUUGCUGAUUGUAAAUUUUUGUGGGAAAUUUUGUGAUAACUUGAGAAUUAUACUUGUUUGAAUCAAGGCAA